GUCCACGCCCUAAACGAUGUCAACUAGGUGUUGGAUGGGUAAAACCAUUUAGUACCGGAGCUAACGCGUGAAGUUGACCGCCUGGGGAGUACGGCCGCAAGGUUAAAACUCAAAGGAAUUGACGGGGACCCGCACAAGCGGUGGAUGAUGUGGAUUAAUUCGAUGCAACGCGAAAACCUUACCUACCCUUGACAUGUUCAGAAGUCUUGAGAGAUUGAGAUGUGCCCGAAAGGGAACUGGAACACAGGUGCUGCAUGGCUGUCGU
rnacentral:rRNA from 1 species